rnacentral:lncRNA from 1 species
AUAAAAUUGGUAAAUCACUUUUGACAUGUAUUAGAACCAGAAUCAAUUUUCCAACCAAAACCCUAAUAGCCACUGAAAUCGAUGAAAAAAAGGAAUCGCGCGUUUGAAAAUUCAAGGCUGAACCAAACAAACAAAUGCGUUUGAAAAUUCACGGCUGAACCAAACAAAUGCAGUUAUAAUUAUACGAUUAAUUCUUGACUGCAAUGGAAGAAAAUAGGGUUAGGGUUUUGAAUUUGGGAAUAAAUAAGGACAAAAUAGAGUAAAUAGGGUUUUCGUUUCUGAUUUGGUGUGUUAAACUACACUCCUGAAAAUGGGCUAUAUCAUGUGGCCGGUUCGCCAGAUCAAGGUUAGGGUUUUGAAUUUGGGAAUAAAUAAGGACAAAAUAGAGUAAAUAGGGUUUUCGUUUCUGAUUUGGUGUGUUAAACUACACUCCUGAAAAUGGGCUAUAUCAUGUGGCCGGUUCGCCAGAUCAUAAAAAUUAUAGUAUAUAUUUUUUUUUUGGACGACUUAACUAAAUCCUAAAAAAA